CUACCUUCUAUCUUUUUUCAUCCAAAUUAAAGGACUCAGCCGAACUCCCAAACGAGACUUUGGACGUGUUCUAACUUGAAAAGUUGUGGGAAUUCUGGUUGAACCACAAGGUUCUCCCAUUGAAACUCGAAUCAGUAUUUCACCCGGAUGCAUAUGCAUCACGCUUUCAACAGGUCUCCACUGACUGUAUAUAGCCUGUAAAAACUUAUUUCUAUACUUUGUUUGGUGUAAUUAUGUUAAUACAAUAUGUAUAUACUAGAUUAU